GUUAACGCUGGCGGCGUGCCUAACACAUGCAAGUCGAGCGAGAUUCAUAGUGUAGCAAUACAUUGUGAGUCUAGCGGCAAACGGGUGAGUAAUACAUAGGAAUCUACCUUAAAGUGGGGGACAACUAACCGAAAGGUUAGCUAAUACCCCAUAAUCCCUGGAGCAAUCUAAGGGUAAAGUCGCAAGACGCUAUAAGAGGAGCCUAUGGCCUAUCAGCUAGUUGGCGGAGUAAAAGCCCACCAAGGCGAUGACGGGUAGCCGACCUGAAAGGGUGUACGGCCACAAGGGCACUGAGACACGGGCCCUACUCCUACGGGAGGCAGCAGUGGGGAAUUUUGGUCAAUGGGCGAAAGCCUGAACCAGCAACGCCGCGUGAGGGACGAAGUCUUUCGGGAUGUAAACCUCUUUUGACCCUGAAGAUAACUGACGGUAAGGGUCGAAUAAGCCAUGGCUAACUACGU
rnacentral:rRNA from 1 species